rnacentral:rRNA from 1 species
GUGGGCAACCUGCCCUGAAGCGGGGGACAACAACUUGAAAGAGUUGCUAAUACCGCAUGUGAAUCGUGGUGGCAUCACCAAGGAUUCAAAGCCGCAAGGCACUUCAGGAUGGGCCCGCGGCCUAUCAGCUAGUUGGUGAGGUAACGGCCCACCAAGGCUUCGACGGGUAGCUGGUCUGAGAGGACGAUCAGCCGGAUUGGGACUGAGAUACGGCCCAG